UGGGUAAGACUGACAAUCGCGUAUAUCUUCGGGAUAUAUGAGGAAAGUCCGGGCUCCGCAGGGCAAGGAUGCCGGAUAACGUCCGGCGUAGGUAACUAUAGGGAAAGUGCAACAGAAACAUACCGCCGAAACGGAUAAUGCCGUGGUAAGGUUGAAAUUGUGAGGUAAGAGCUCACAGGAGAAUAUGGUAACAUAUUUUCCGUGUAAACCCCAUUCGGAGCAAGACCAAGCAGGACAUAAAAAGCGGCGGCCCGUCGCUGUCCGGGAGGUAGGUCGCAUGAGCCUGUCGGUAACGGCAGGCCAAGAUAGAUGAUUGUCUGAUACAGAACCCGGCUUAUGUCUUGCCCAAAUC
rnacentral:RNase_P_RNA from 1 species